GGAAGUAAAAGUCGUAACAAGGUCUCCGUUGGUGAACCAGCGGAGGGAUCAUUAUCGAGUUACUCAACUCCCAAAACCCUGUGAACUUUACCACUGUUGCUUCGGCGGAGUCGUCCCGGGUGCGCUCGAAAGGGCGUGUCCCGGAUCCAUGGCGCCCGCCGGGGGACCUAAACUCUUGUUUUUAUAAUGGUAUCUUCUGAGUGGCAUAAGCAAAAUAAAUCAAAACUUUCAGCAACGGAUCUCUUGGUUCUGGCAUCGAUGAAGAACGCAGCGAAAUGCGAUAAGUAAUGUGAAUUGCAGAAUUCAGUGAAUCAUCGAAUCUUUGAACGCACAUUGCGCCCGGUAGUACUCUACCGGGCAUGCCUGUCCGAGCGUCAUUUCAACCCUCGGGACCCGUUUCGGCGGGACCCGGCGUUGGGGAUCGGCCGUCCUUUGCGGCGCGCCGGCCCCGAAAUACAGUGGCGGUCUCGUUGUGACUCCCCUGCGUAGUAGUAACAUCUCGCAUGUGGAUAGUGACGCGGCCACGCCGUAAAACCCCCAACUUUUACCAAGGUUGACCUCGGAUCAGGUAGGAAUACCCGCUGAACUUAAGCAUAUCAAUAAGCGGAGGA
rnacentral:rRNA from 1 species